GCUAAUUAUCAAGCCUAAAAACACCGAAUAAAUCUCCACUAAACUUCAAUUAGAUAAAACAUUUUAUUGUCUAAGUAAAGGCGAUUAAAAAGACUCUAAGAGCUUCAACUUUAGUACCGCAAGGGAAUGAUGAAAUAUAAGUGAAAUAAAAUAAAG
rnacentral:rRNA from 1 species